UGGAUUGUGACUCAGUGGUAGAGCACUUGCUUAGCACACAUGAGGCACUGGGUUCAAUCCCCAGCACCAA
rnacentral:tRNA from 1 species